UACGUAGGGUGCAAGCGUUGUCCGGAAUUAUUGGGCGUAAAGAGCUCGUAGGCGGUUUGUCGCGUCUGCUGUGAAAACUCGGGGCUUAACCCCGGGCCUGCAGUGGGUACGGGCAGACUAGAGUGCGGUAGGGGAGACUGGAAUUCCUGGUGUAGCGGUGAAAUGCGCAGAUAUCAGGAGGAACACCAGUGGCGAAGGCGGCUGACUGGUCCGGUUCUGACGCUGAGGCGCGAAAGCGUGGGGAGCAAACAGG
rnacentral:rRNA from 1 species